rnacentral:lncRNA from 1 species
AUGUGUGGAGUUUUGUUUCUGGUCUCCAACUGGGCAAUCUCAAAGAAUGGGAUUGUCCCAGAGGAGAAACCCCCGAGAACAUUACCGUCGGCUGCCCAUUUAAGCAGCCGGUGUGUGGUGGGAAGGGGUGGGAAGGGGAAGGCUGGAGUCCACCAGGCCAGGAGCUGCUGCUGGAGGAGGAAAGGCUGCCGCAACCUCUGCCCACCCUUGCAGACCGCAUGCCCUGCUGCGCCUGCUGCUAACCAAGAGGAACAGCGGCUUCUUAAAUCCUUGCCUACGAUGGUCCAGCAAGCCCAGACGUCCUGUCGCCUUCUCACCUCCUCUGCUGAGAGCUACAGAUCUUCCGAUGACAGACAAGGAGGGGAUGUGCGAAUGGUGUGUAGAGAAAUAUUGGUCACAAGCCAUUUGGAGAAGAUAAGAAAAAGAAAAGACUUGCAUUUUCCUUUUCCUUUCAGACUUUGGAUAUCACCAGAUUUGUUGAUUCUAGAACUUUCCAAAUGCUGAGCCAGCCAUUUCUACUUGCAAGUAAGCAUCAUUCUCAGAGAUCCCGGGAUCUGCCUGUGGAGUUGGGGCUGUGCUUAGAUAUGGCCAGAAGCCUCCUGGAACUAUGAAACCUCCUGGCUUAGGUGGGGGUGAUCCAGAAGCCCCCUGGCACUUUUUCUACCCUGUGCCAGGCCAACAGGGAAGGUUGACCCUUAAAUAGUCCUUCAAGUCAGAGCAAGUAAUUGGUUUAAUGUUUGUUCAUUCAUAUAUGCUUUCCCUCAACACAUUGUGAUGGAAACUAAAACAAUACUGCCAGCCUACCAUGUUAGCUUAGGGAUGCAGCAGGAUAAACACACUGCCAUGACUGUUCUCUGAGGGUCUUAGGGAGGAGGCAGGAGUUGAUAGGCAAAGUUAUAAAAGGCAUAUGAAGAAAGCCUUGCAAAUAGGGCGACGGGGCCUACUGAAAGCUUUUCGCUCCAGUUGCCCAUCCAAGACUGAGGAAGGAGUUUGUAAGGAACACCAUGCAACCAGACACUGAGAGAGGAUCCAGCCCUGGUGGAGAAAUCCUUAAACAGUAACUCUAUUAGAACGCCUGUGUGGUGGUUUGAAAGAAAAUGGCCUCCAAAGGGAGUGGCACUAUUAUGAGGUGUGGCUUUAUUGGAAUAGGCAUGUCCUUGUUGAAGGCAGUGUGUCACUGUGGCGGUAGGCUUUAAGGUCUCUUAUGCUCAAGCUACUCCCAGGGAGACAGUUCACUGUCCAUUUUGUGCCUGCAGAUGAAGAUGUAGAACGCUUAUCUCCUCCUGCACCACGUCUGCCUGCAUGCUGCCCUGUCUCACCAUGAUAAUGGACCAAAUCUCUGAAACUGUAAGCCUCCCAGUUAAGUGUUUUCCCUUAUAAGAGUUGUUAUGGUCAUAGUAUCUCUUCGCGGCAAUAGAAACCCUAACUAAGACAACCUGGGAAUCUAGUUUGCUGUCUUUAGAUUUUUAAAAUAUGUCUCUUUCUCUCAAACAGACCAGGAAACUUCCACCCUGAAGACUUGCUUUCAUAGUGCCAGAAAGUGCCGUGCAGGCUGUUGGAGGAGAAAGUAUGUUUGCGCAGUGCUGGACUCUGCAUCCUUCAGUAGCUCCUGUAAGGCUAGGGGCAUGAUUGUUAUGGGGAAAGUCACCACCUUCUUACUGAAUUUGAGACCUGCUCUACAGGAGGGCAUGCCACACCGGCACCAAAAUACUGAUUAAAAAGCCUAUGUCUGGCAAGGGUGUAGGCUGUAACACUUAGCCUGCUCUUGUUAUUUUGCUCCGUGUUCAUGCCGUUAAACGUCCCUACCUAUACAUCUGUGCUGCUCUCAACCUUGUCCAGAAAAAGACUUUCUUUUCUUUUGCAACGGGCAGCAUUGGUGCAGGGAUGCUUAACUGGUCAAAGUGCUGAGACUAAGAGAUGAGUGCUCAGUCUUAAGUGGGGCAUCCUUACCAACUGACCCCAGCCCUUCACCCAGCCUGGCAAGACUCAGGGAGCACCUUGGAAGAAAGUGAACCCUUGGAAGAUGCGGAGGAGUGCUGUGAAAUGCUGUCUUCUAGCAUGAUAUGGCUCUCACACUCAUGAACUCACAGCCGCCAUGAUUAUCUGCACAAGAUGAAGCCAACUAAGAUGCCAGCGCAGAUGUGGGGUGCCUUUCAGGUCCCACUUUUUACUAACAGCUAGCAGCAGUUGAUAGAUGUUUGGGGAGAAGGAAUCCUUACCAUUUGAGAGUGGGCCUACUGGUAGAGUUCCCAUACUCCAGCGAUCACGUCAUACCUAUACACAUGACUAGCACCGACUGGAUUUAAUGAGCUAUCGGAGAAGGAGGAGGAGGACGAAGAGGAAGAAGGGGGAGGGGAGGAGGAAAAGGGGAGGAGGAAAUAAUUAAGUUGGAGGAGUACAUGUUGGGAGAGAUGGGGAGGGAGUUGGAGGAGGGAAAUGGGAACAGGCAGAUAUGGUUAUUUUUCAUUGUACACGUGUUACAUGUAUGAAAUUAUUAAGAAUAAAGAAAAGUUAUAAUAAAAAUAAUAUCUUUCC